UAACUUCAAACUCGGAUAAAUCCAAUUCUUAGAUUUUUUGAGAUUUUGGUGUCAAAUCAAAGAGAAAAAAAAUAUCUUUUAAACAUUUUUAUCAGUCGUGUAUAAAUCAGCGUGGUUCUUGAGAAAUAAGCCGUUAAAGUCGUAAUAUUUUAUCUAAGAGAGAUAGAUCCAUGAGACAUUUUUUUUCAAACGUAGCUAAGUCCAUGAGAGCCAAUCAGGUAAUUGCGUUUCUUCAACAUGGCCGCCAGUUGACGAAAACUCAGCGACCAGCGGCACCAUGCGCUCCCGCUUUUUAAUGUUUAUUUGCGAUAUUCAGACAGUUCCCAUGGAUAUUAUAUUAAAAUUGUGUCACCAACUAAAGCCCGCAAGCGGCUUAAUAUAAAAGUUCGCCUUAGGAAAGAGGAAAAAGCGAAAACUCGAAUAUUUUGGACAUAAGUAUGUUUAUGACAUACCUACCUAAUAUUGAGUACAUUUCUUUUUCUGAUCAAAUUUGUGUAGGUAUGUUCAUGUAAGUUUUAGAAUAUAAGACAUGCUUUGUGGAGUUGGGUCGUCUGGAUAUGUUUUGCAGUUUUUUGCUAAAUAUAAUAAAUUUGUAAAUGUAAUUAUGUGAAAUAAAAUAUUGAUCUAUUUAAAUGAUUUAUAAUAACCUAAUUUUUUUUUCCUUUAAGUUAGGGGCUGGAAACGCACUUUAGCUAAUUGGGCAUAAUGGGCAUUGUUGGUGGAAUUGAAAAAUGUAUUAUAAAAAAUGCUUUAAUAUUGAAAAUGUGAUAGGGCGACCAAUUCACGAAGAAGAAAUUGAAAAAGAUGACUGAAGAAAUAUUGAAUUUUGUUUAAAAUUAUUAAAUUGGGUACUUCCUAUUUUUAUAAAAUAAAAACUAGAUUUUC